rnacentral:tRNA from 1 species
AGCAGCGUGGCGCAGUGGAAGCGUGCUGGGCCCAUAACCCAGAGGUCGGUGGAUCGGAACCACUCGCUGCUA